UCCAACUCUUCCCCUUCUACAACUCCGUCGUCUUCGCGUGACGGCGAGGAUUCACGAUAUUUUUGUAUCCCCCGUCGCGAGCCCGAUGACGAACAGAUUUACGGAGGAGGAGGAAUGGAAACGAUGCGAGCAAGAGGUUGUGGAGGCGUCCACCAACACCGUACCUACCCUUCGAGCAGUGAAUGAAUGAAUCUCUUCGUUCGAUAAUCCAAUGAUAUAAUUUGCAAUCAAAUAUUUGUAUUCGAUUACUUUAUAUAAAUAGUUGUUAUUCUCGUGAUCUUUGAAUUUUUUUUCCUUUUUCUCGUGAGGUGAGAAUAUCGGUGGUAAUUGGAAAUGAUCGCAUAGGUUAUUCUAUAAAUAAACAAGUUCUUUGUUGAACGUGAAAAUCGAUAAUUGAAAGUGUAUAUAAUUACCUUUGUGGGAUGAAUUACGAGGUUCAGGUGUAUCUUUUUGAUAAGAUUAGAAUUGUGCAAUUAGAUUAGAUUCUUGAGGAGAAUUGUGAAUGCACGAAGUGGUUAUUCUUCGGUUUUUCUUUUUUAUUAAGAAUGAAGAUGUGAUUGUAAGUGUUUUUAAUUGUUUUUAAUCAGGUUAUUAAGUAAAGAUUUGAUUAUGUGCACGUGGCAAACUUCCUGUUCAUAUAGCUGAUUAUUUGACUGUUCUAUAGUUCUAUAGUAUAGGCAUUCUGCAACCAGGGGCACGACCAUUAGGAGGAUUCAGUCGGCCAUCAAGGGGAUUUGUUACUUCGAAGUCAAUGGAGAUUCUCCGUCCCCCCGUGGACCUAAUUAGCACGUGAAGCAUCUGCGCCUGAUUUGCAUUAUUGAACAAUAAUUCUACUCACCAUCGAAAUUCCCAAUAUCCGUCCAACCAAGGAAUAUAUCUUCCAAUACAGGUAUUUGUCCUCCUCAUACGAUAUUCUUGGUUUCGAAAGUUUUUCAAAUCGAAAUAUGAAUAUUUUCGAUUAAUUGGAAAUUUUAUUUUAUGUAAAAAAACAUAGGUAAAUUUUUAAAUAGAAAUUUCUAAAAUGUCGAGCGAUACGAAGGGAUCGAUGAUGAGAAGAGGUGAUAAUACAAACGUCUGAAAUGAAAUUAGAAGAAUCGUUAAACAAUGAAAUUAAAGUAUUAUCAUCAUUUAUUUAUUUUUCACUGAUCAUGACAAAGUAAUAAUCACAUAAAGCUGUUAAAAGUAAAAUCCCCGUUAUCACUAAAUCGUUUACUGUAUUUACAAGUAUAAUUAUUAGUUGGCGCAUUCGUCGAAUGCUCGCAUACGACGCGCUCAUCGUUUCCAUUUUUUUAUUUUUUUAUUUUUUUUAUUCAUUCGCUUGUUUCUCCUCUCUCUCUCUCUCUCUCUCUCUCUCUCUCUCUCUCUCUCUCUCUCCAUUCUUCGACCAACGAUAAAUAUAUAUAUAAUAUAUAUAAUUUUUUCUUUUUCCUUUUACACCAUUUUUCCUUUUUUUUUCUUUUUUUUCCUUUUUUCUCUUUUUAUUCAUUUGUUUUAUUCCUCCUUUUCCCCGGCGUGUCUCUAUCUAUCGCUCUGCUUACAAAAAUUAGGUAAGUAAAGCUAAAAAAAUUGUCUCUAUUUUCUCUUCUUCUCUAUCUUUCUCUCGAUUUUCUUUUUUUUUUCGACAAAAGCGCACGUAGAAAUUCUCGCCCUUUAUCUCUUUUUGUUUCUUCUUUUUCACACUAUAUAUAUAUAUUUAUAUAUACCUCUUUCUCUCUCUUUCUCUUUCUCAUAUACUUUUUCUCCCUCAUUUACUCUCUCUCUUUCUCUCUCUCUCGCUCUCUCUCUAAUCCCUUUCUCUGGCGUAAGAAACGAUAUAAUUGGUACCCGAAACCCCGUUUAAUGAAAAUCCUUCAAAUAAAAUACUCUAGUUAACAAUAAAUUAUUAAAUAUCUAUUCACAAAUAUAUGCAUAGGCUAAUUAUCGUUUUUUUUUUUAUUACUAUCUUCAUCACCGUCAAUCUAUCGUCCUCAUCGAUCAUCGUCGCCGUCGUCGCCAUUGAUCGGGGUAUAAUUCUCCCCACGUUUUACAAUUUCCGGCUUACAACGGUUCUCCCUUCUUCUUUUCUCCCUUUAUUUCAAUUCUUUUACUUUUUCUUUACCUCCCUCUCGCUCUCUCUCUCUCUUUGCUACUAAGUAUAUCAACAGCAAAAUAGAAUUGUUUUGUUCGCAAUUGGUUUUUUUCCUUUUUUUUUCUUUUUUUUUCUUCUUUUUCUUGAGAAACGGAGGAAAACGAAGAUUCUGCUCGUCCAAUUCCGAGUGAGCUGGUUCACGCGCUAGAAGACACUGAAGUUUAAGUGGUUCGUCCAUCGUUACCGAGUCGUAGAAACGAUUUUCCCUCUUUGGAAAAAAUUGGAUUUCGGCGAUAUUCGUUGUUUUCUUUUAAAAAUAAAAAAAGAA